rnacentral:misc_RNA from 1 species
GAUGAAGAACGUAGCGAAAUGCGAUAAGUAGUGUGAAUUGCAGAAUUCAGUGAAUCAUCGAAUCUUUGAACGCACAUUGCGCCCCUUGGUAUUCCAUGGGGCAUGCCUGUUCGAGCGUCAUUUACACCCUCAAGCUCUGCUUGGUGUUGGGCGUCUGUCCCGCUGCUUUGCGCGGACUCGCCUCAAAGGUAUUGGCAGCGAUCAUGCCAGCUUCUCGCGCAGCACAUUGCGCUUCUUGAAGUUCUGGUGGAUCAGCGUCCAUUAAGCUUACCUUCAUGACUUGACCUCGGAUCAGGUAGGGAUACCCGCUGAACUUAAGCAUAUCAAUAAGCGGAGGA